rnacentral:rRNA from 1 species
AACGCUGGCGGCGUGCUUACACAUACAGUCGAACGAACUCUUCCGAGUGAGUCGGCGGACGGGUGAGUAACGCGUGAGAUCCCGCUUCAGUGAGGGGGACAACAGUUGGAAACGACUGCUAUAUACCCCAUAUGCCUACGGGUGAAAUGGUGAAUUCCGCCUGAAGAUAACUCGCGUCAGAUUACUAGUUGUGGGGUAAGAGCCUACCAAGGCGACGAUCUGUAGCUGGUCUGAAGGAUGAUCAGCACACUGGGGACUGAGACACGGCCCAGACUCCUACGGGAGGCAGCAGUGGGGAAUUUUCCGCCAAUGGGCGAAAGCCUGACGGAGCAACGCCGCGUGCGGGAUGACGGCCUGUGGGUUGUAAACCGCUUUUCUCAGGGGAAGAAGAUCUUGACGGUACCUGAGGAAUCAGCAUCGGCUAACUCCGUGCCAGCAGCCGCGGUAAUACGGAGGAUGCAAGCGUUAUCCGGA